UACGAAGGGGGCUAGCGUUGUUCGGAAUCACUGGGCGUAAAGCGCACGCAGGCGGAUCGUUAAGUCGGGGGUGAAAUCCCGAGGCUCAACCUCGGAACUGCCUUCGAUACUGGCGAUCUUUGAGUCCGGGAGAGGUGAGUGGAACUCCGAGUGCAGAGGUGAAAUUCGUAGAUAUUCGGAAGAACACCAGUGGCGAAGGCGGCUCACUGGCCCGGUACUGACGCUCAGGUGCGAAAGCGUGGGGAGCAAACAGG
rnacentral:rRNA from 1 species